AAUAUUGGACAAUGGGGGCAACCCUGAUCCAGCCAUGCCGCGUGUGUGAAGAAGGUCUUCGGAUUGUAAAGCACUUUAAGUUGGGAGGAAGGGCUUUAGGCUAAUACCCUGAAGUUUUGACGUUACCAAAAUAAUACGCACCGGCUAACUCUGUGCCAGCCGCCGCGGUGAUACAGAGGGUGCAAGCGUUAAUCUGAAUUACUGGGCGUUAAACGCUGGUAGGUGGUUCAGUAAGAUGGGUGUGAAAUCCCCGGGCUUAACCUGGGAACUGCUUUCAUAACUGCUGAGCUAGAGUACGGUAGAGGGUAGUGGAAUUUCCUGUGUAGCGGUGAAAUGCGUAGAUAUAGGAAGGAACACCAGUGGCGAAGGCGACUACCUGGACUGAUACUGACACUGAGGUGCGAAAGCGUGGGGAGCAAAC
rnacentral:rRNA from 1 species